rnacentral:rRNA from 1 species
UACGUAGGUGGCAAGCGUUGUCCGGAUUUAUUGGGUUUAAAGGGUGCGUAGGCGGUCUAUUAAGUCAGUGCUGAAAUAUCCCGGCUUAACCGGGAGGGUGGCAUUGGUACUGAUGGACUUGAGUGCAGUCGAGGUAGGCGGAAUUGACGGUGUAGCGGUGAAAUGCUUAGAUAUCGUCAAGAACACCGAUAGUGAAGACAGCUUACUAGGCUGUAACUGACGCUGAGGCACGAAAGUGUGGGGGAUCAAAACAGG